AUGCUUGAGCCCGCUUGCCCAACUCCUGAGAUGUCAUCGGGAAGCUGCUGAUCAGCAAUUACAGAGAAGCAGUGUCACAUAACUGUAAGCAAAGAUGAAAGACCACGAUUAACAGGGUCCACAUCUGUUCGGGGGAGGAUGCAGCUUGAGUCUCUGCCAGCCUCUACCUCAAAGAAUGUGUGCGCUAGGUCAAUAAUGAAACUCGUGGCCCAUCUGUCCUUCCGGUGUGCCCUGCACUGUGCUAAGAACUUCCCAUCCACUGGAUCUCACGGAGGUUCACAGUCAUCUGAAGAGGGGGUCCUGUGUUCACCUGCAUCUUGCAGCAAGCAGUCACCGUCUAUGAACUAGAAAGCUGAUUCACCAGACACCGAAUCUGCCAGCACCUUGGUCUUGGACUUCCCAGCCUCCAGAACUAGGAAAUGUUCCAACACAUCUGAGGAAACACAUGCCUUCCCAGACUGGCCUGUUGCUGUUUCCCAGGAGCUGCAUUCUGGAAGGUGGACCAUCAGGUGGAAGAAGUAUUCUUCAGAGAGCUGCCUUCCCAAGGGAAUGGUGACAGCUUGCGCUUGCCGGGGAGUCCUGCUGCCUUCCGAGGUGUGAAGGGAAGGCAUGCACUGUGCAUAUGCUGUACCAUACAGUUUUGCCUACAACUGCUUGUAGCUUCAUUGUAGCUGUGAAUGCUCCGUUCCUCUCCUUUUCACCCCUGAAGAUUCGCGAACAUGCAGGAUUGAGCUGUGCGAGGCAUAGCAUUCCCCACAUGGUAGACGAAGGCGGAUGUGGGUCUGAUGGCUCUACUGCCGUCCACCCGGGAGGAUGGACGUGUGUUCCGGGAUAUCAGAGCUUGCGGCUGACCAGCCCACAUGUCCAUGCAGCCCUCCCGCUGGCUGUGUCGACAUUUUGGGUGUCACUGAAGGAUUUUACUGGUGCAGACUUUACAAAGGCAAAAUUGUUUCUCAAGGAAGUGGACAUGAAAGAUCUAAAAUCAGGGCUGCUUAAAAAAAGCAAGCACAGAUUAAUGACCUAUCUACAUCCUACACGGUUUUAGGACUGCGCCUAGAUGGGCUUAAAGACCCUAGCCUAAAAACUGUAAAUGUGCUUCCGUCUUUGCCCUGUAGGACAAGAAAGCCUUACGGGCUUGCUUCUAACUGUGAGAGGAGGAGAGGCCAGGAAGGGAGAGGGAGAAAAGGAGGAGAACAGGAGACGAGAAGGAGGGGAGAGUGAGGAGAGGAGGAGAGAGGCUUGUCAAAAUCUUUUUAGUGCACAAAACUAAUUUUGUUCAUCUUGGAUUUGGUGAGCUGGGUAAUAUUCUGUGCACGGCUCCUAAAUGAAUUAUUAAAUGUCAACUCAAGAUGGCUUAACUAAAAUACUCAAUUUAAUAACCAAAAGUAUCUAAGGUAACAACAACAAUUUUGCAGGUGAUUGUAGAGUUGUCAAGUCAAACCAUUAUAGACAAGCAUUUGGGGUUUUCACAUAAUCUCCUUCCACAUCUCAUCUUCUGUCACUAAAUACCCACUCUGGUGAGCAUAUUCCAUUUCAAUAAAGAUCAUCGCUUCGGUGCCAGCUUCUUUUUAUUCAGAUCGAGCCAGAAAACCUUUUUUUUUUUUCUAAAAUAUAAAGCAAAACAAGAUCUCAGUCACAACCACCAAAUCUUUAUUAAUGCAUUCCUUGUGCUACUUCUGAAUAUUAAUAAAAAUUAAUAAUUAAUUUUGCCUUUGGCAUUGCAAGAUAUACUAGUUUUAAUUAGUGUACUGUACUCCUAUACAAUUAAAAAAUAAUUGAUGUCCAUGC
ensembl:lncRNA LINC03103 long intergenic non-protein coding RNA 3103